UACGGAGGGGGCAAGCGUUAAUCGGAAUUACUGGGCGUAAAGCGUGCGCAGGCGGGUUGUUAAGGCAGAUGGGAAAUCCCCGAGCUCAACUUGGGAAUUGCAGUGGAUACUGGCAAGCUGGAGUAUGGUAGAGGAAGGUGGAAUUCCCGGUGUAGCAGUGAAAUGCGUAGAGAUCGGGAGGAACACCAGUGGCGAAGGCGGCCUUCUGGACCAAUACUGACGCUCAUGCACGAAAGCGUGGGGAGCAAACAGG
rnacentral:rRNA from 1 species